UACGAAGGGGGCUAGCGUUGUCCGGAAUCACUGGGCGUAAAGGGCGCGUAGGUGGCUUAGCAAGCGUGUGGUGAAAGCCCGGGGCUUAACCCCGGGUCUGCCAUGCGAACUACUAUGGCUAGAGUACUGUAGAGGCAGGUUGAAUUCCGGGUGUAGCGGUGGAAUGCGUAGAGAUCCGGAAGAAUACCGGUGGCGAAGGCGGCCUGCUGGGCAGUUACUGACACUGAGGCGCGACAGCGUGGGGAGCAAACAGG
rnacentral:rRNA from 1 species